rnacentral:lncRNA from 1 species
CCUCACGACGCCAGGACAGCGGAGUCAAUCACCACCUUCCGGAGACACCUGAAACCCCACCUCUUUAAGGAAUACCUGGGAUAGGAUAAAGUAAUCCUUCUACCCCCCCCCCCCUUAAAAGAUUGAGAUGCACUAUUGUAAAGUGGUUGUUCCACUGGAUAUUAUAAGGUGAAUGCACCAAUUUGUAAGUCGCUCUGGAUAAGAGCGUCUGCUAAAUGACUUAAAUGUAAAUGUAAAUCUAAAUGUCAAUGCCAUAGCAAAAACUGACCGGGAAGAGAAGAGUGUGCUCUGCGCAGUGAAAUUAAUGUUAAAAUACACUUGUGAACUUAAACAAAAAAAACACAACGCACACCUCUACAAAUGUUUUUAUCGUUAGUAAAAUCCCAAACGGAGGCAGGUGGUUCAACUACAGUAAAUCCCUUAAAAACUUGGAUUGAAACGAUCAGAUGGAGACAUCGGAAGCACUAUCCCAUUAGAAGAGGUUGAGUAUUCCGGUAUUUACUGAAAACUGUAGAAUGACAGCCCAUUAAGCACGGAAAUGCUGGGAGAGACAAAUUAUGCAAGAGGCAGCAUAAUGUUGACGUUAUCCAGUGGGUGUUUCUGGCACACUUCCCAGCUGUCAUAUCUAUGCUAAGGUUGACUGAGUGAUGAUGUUCUCACCUUGAGAGAAGAGUGGACGGCUGACUCGGACGGGUAGACAAUGAAGUGGCGCAGCGUGAAGCCGAGACACUGCGAGGGAGAAGGUGGAUUGAAUCGAUUGAAACUGUGAAGGAUGCAGCAGAAAGAUUCAGCAGAAAGGCAAAGAGGGAGAAAGAGCGACACAGUCAGACAUGACAUCCGCAGCACACCCAUAAGAUUUAGACAUAAGGGCCUGGUCAGAUAGGAGAACAUGAACAAAUCUAGUCUAAUUUAGAUCUCCCAAUAGGAGACCUUCAGUACAGAUGACAUAAUAACAAUAAACAAUAACAAAGC